UACGGAGGGUGCAAGCGUUAUCCGGAAUCACUGGGUUUAAAGGGUGCGUAGGCGGCUUGGUAAGUCAGGGGUGAAAGCUUCCCGCUCAACGGGAGAACUGCCCUUGAUACUGCCAGGCUCGAAUUGGGUUGAGGCAGGCGGAAUGUGGCAUGUAGCGGUGAAAUGCUUAGAUAUGCCAUAGAACACCGAUUGCGAAGGCAGCCUGCCAAGCCUUGAUUGACGCUGAGGCACGAAAGCGUGGGGAGCGAUCCGG
rnacentral:rRNA from 1 species